UUGUUUUUUGAGACAGGAUUUCAUUAUGCAGUUCAGGCUGGCCUUGAACUCAUUUGGUAGAGUAGGCAGAACUCUCAGCAAUCCUCCUACCUCAGCUUCCUGAGCGCUGGGAUUACAGACAUGCACACCACACCUGGCUCUGCGUGGCAUUUUCUGAUAACCAGUCUAAGAAGAUUUUUCUCUGAUGUAACUGAACCAGUGCGCCACCUCCCCACCACAAGCAGUGAUAUCUCCUUGAAACCUGAAGAAACCAGAAAGCUACUUUAAUUCAAAUGUUUAAAAAGACCUAUCAGUCACCCAUGCAGUGUUCCCACUGCACUCCCAAUUCUGCUACUGCAAGGAGCAAUGUCUGUUUUUGAAAUCUACUAUUGGAAAUGCUGAUAUAUUACAUGAUUAGAUUUUUAAGCAAAGAUAUAUGGUAGUUUUUCCUAAUUUUAAUUUCUUUCCUUUUUAAGCACCUGCCUUUUCCUCAGUCCCCCCCCCUUUCUUUUACACCUAUCUUUAUUGUUUUUUAAACUUGCGUCAAUAUCAUGCAGGACUUGAGAGAGACAAGAAGUAUUUAGGGUCAGUAAAAAGAAUAAUAAAAACAGUCCAUGAACUAAGCCAAAGUCAUAAGAAGAUAGCCAACUAAUGCCAGAAGGAUUCCCUAGCGAGACCAACAUAGCAUGGCUCCAAAAUAAAGUCCUGCAGGAAACCACCAAUAGCCAUACUGCAAAGCGGGAAUAUGAAAGUGGUCACUAGGAAGCCAAUAAAUUCUGCCCAAGGGAAUUCUUUUUUGAAUAAGCUUUUUUUUUUUUUCUUUUGGUAGUACUAGGAAUUGAACUCAUGACCUCACACCUGCCAGGUGAAUAAGCUUUUGGAGAAUAUUGCUUGUCUGAAUUUAGUCCUGCAAAUAUAUUAGAUCUAGCAUGUUUUAAUUUGUAUACAAAAUAAUGACAAGGGGUGAUGAAAAAUAUAUGGUAGCCGGGCAUGGUGGCUUAUGCCUGUAAUCCCAUUAUUCGGGAGGCUGAGGCAGGAGGAUCGUUGCGAGUUCGAGACUAGCCUGGGCUACAAAGUGAGCUCAAGGCCAGCCUGAACUGCAUGGCGAGACCCUGUCUCAAAAAGAAAA
rnacentral:lncRNA from 1 species